GAUGAAGAACGCAGCGAAAUGCGAUACGUAAUGUGAAUUGCAGAAUUCAGUGAAUCAUCGAAUCUUUGAACGCAUAUUGCGCUCUCUGGUAUUCCGGAGAGCAUGCUUGUUUGAGUAUCAGUAAACACCUCAACUUCCAUAUCUUUUUUGAAAUGGGAGUUGGACUUGAGUGAUCCCAACGCUUUUCCUCACCGAAAAGUGGCGGGUUACUUGAAAUGCAGGUGCAGCUGGACUUUUCUCUGAGCUAUAAGCAUAUCUAUUUAGUCUGCCUAAAAAACAGAUUAUUACCUUUGCUGCAGCUAACAUAAAGGAGAUUAGUUCUUGUGCUGACUGAUGCAGGAUUCACAAAGACAGGCUUCGGCCGACUUUAUAAACUCGAUCUCAAAUCAAGUAAGACUACCCGCUGAACUUAAGCAUAUCAAUAAGCGGAGGA
rnacentral:misc_RNA from 1 species